rnacentral:lncRNA from 1 species
AGCCAACUUCUCCCUGCGACUGGGGGUAACAGGCAGUGCUUGCCCUCUCUACUGUCCCGGCGGCAUCCACAUGUUUCCGGACACCUGAGCACCCCGGUCCCGCCGAGGAGCCUCCGGGUGGGGAGAAGAGCACCGGUGCCCCUAGCCCCGCACAUCAGCGCGGACCGCGGCUGCCUAACCUCUGGGUCCCGUCCCCUCCUUUUCCUCCGGGGGAGGAGGAUGGGGUUGGGAACGCUUUCCCCGAGGAUGCUCGUGUGGCUGGUGGCCUCGGGGAUUGUUUUCUACGGGGAGCUAUGGGUCUGCGCUGGCCUCGAUUAUGAUUACACUUUUGAUGGGAACGAAGAGGAUAAAACAGAGACUAUAGAUUACAAGGACCCGUGUAAAGCCGACUGACCACUGCUCUAAGCAGUGUUGGGGCAAUGCCUGGGCUGCCCGAGCCCUUGAAGUUCAAGAAGAAGCACCUGGACUUCUCAUGAGGGGAGGUCAGAGUCAAUCUGUAUUUUGGGGCGAUAUUGCCUUAGAUGAUGAAGACUUAAAUAUCUUUCAAAUAGAUAGGACAAUUGACCUUACGCAGAACCCCUUUGGAAACCUUGGACAUACCACAGGUGGACUUGGAGACCAUGCUAUGUCAAAGAAGCGAGGGGCCCUCUACCAACUUAUAGACAGGAUAAGAAGAAUUGGCUUUG